GGGGAUGUAGCUCAGUGGUAGAGCGCUUGCUUCGCAUGUAUGAGGUUCCGGGUUCGAUCCCUGGCCUCUCCA